AUCAACACCACCCAUUCUCCUCUUUAUUUCUUGAUUUUUAGAAGGAUUCAUCUUAAUUUGAGAUGUUAAUUUGUGAUUGUGUUCUUUCUCUUGUAUCUCAGGAUGUGAUCCUGGCUAAGAUGAGGCGACGUCAUCUCCUCUACCAGAUUGUUCAGUCGCUUUUGUCACACCAUGUGAUGUGUAGAUCAAGUGUUCAUCAUGCGGUACAGCUGGGAAGGAAGGCCGCAAGCAUGUAUUAGUGAACCAAUUGGAGGUGCCGUUUGAGUCCUGCUACAUCAUUGAUAUCCUAGAUAUCCACAUGGUAUGUGCAGAAUUCUACUAGGGAUAAAAAUCAGUCGAGUAAAAGAGGGAUGAAAAGUUGCAGUCUUUGUGAUAAUCAUGGGAGCCUGGGACAUGUUCACUUAAACUAUUCUGCUGCCGUUUUCUUUGGUAUUUGCAGACCUACAUCCAGUAUAUGAUAGUCCAUUGAUUUAAUGGUUAUGGUAAAGAUGAGAAAGUUGGUUGAUAUGGGGUUUGUGCUUUAUAUAGGGCAAUAUGGUUUUCUAGAAAAGGUACUUGAACGCUUAAUUUUUUUGAUUGCUUUGGUUUUGUUUCAAUUCCAUUUACUGGUAUUGUUCUAUUUUGAGGAUUUUUAUUUUACCGAGCUUCCUUGCGGCAGGCGACGACCGGGCGAGACAGGUCGAUAUAAAAUGGUUAAUUUACUUGUUCAUUUAGAUAAGGGAGGAGAAGGGAGCAUGAGAUGAAUAAAUGUGUCUCUGAUGAUUGUUUCCAUGGCUAGAAACAUGGUCAAAAGCCCCAUGUGAAUUUCCUCCCCUUUUUUUUUGUUUGGGUACCUUUUUGGGUGAGACAUUUGUUGCUUCCAAGGGUUGCCUGGUUGCGCUCCACCAGCACUGGGUAUGAACCUACUGGUGGAGUAGCAUGGAGAUGGAGAGAAUAGGAGCAUAUGGUGGCUGGGUAGUGGUGUUUUUAUGAGAUGGAGAUAAAGUGGCUCUAAUCUGAGUGUAUUCUAAUCAGAUAUUUUAUUUGUGAUUUUAUCUGUGAUGUAAUCUUGCUGAUUUGAUUUGGAUUGUGUAGAGGUAAAAUUUCCAAUCACCAACUGAUGCUUUUGAGUUUUAACUUUUGCUUCUAUGCUGAGUAGAUUGGUCUAGAGGUGAAGGCCUAUAAGGGCUUGUCAGGAUAAACUUUUGCUUCUGUGCUGAGCAGAUUGGUCUAAAGGUGAAGGCCUAUAAGGGUUUGUCGGUUUGCAAGGCACCGGUUCUUGAGGCAAGCUUAUUUGGAUCACGUGGGCAGCUCAGGCAUGGAGCAGAAAAUCAAGGAGAUUUGAUUUGGAGUUUGGGAAGGUAGUGUUGUGCAAUAUGCAUGCAACAAGUCUGUUCCACAGUGCAUGUCUCACUCAGUUGUUUUUAGACUUGUGAUUGCAUUUUGUCAUUUUAAGGCUUCACUGGAUCUCUGGAUUGCUUUGACGUAGGAAGGAUUCUGUUACCAUUAACUAACACACGAUGUUAGUGCUGGUGCUUUUGUGAUGAGUGGCGAAUGAGGUACGGAAUGAAUAUAAAAGGAUAUGCAGCAGGUUCCAUUAAUUUUCUGGCAUAUUCUUACUUUGUCAGAAACCCUAAAUGGGAAAUUGCAUAAGCUGUAUUUUACAUGUAGCAUACAAGGGUGUGUAUCUUAAUCGAAAAAAGAGUGUGAGUUUCUUUUUAUUGCGGAAUUGAGAUUGACAAUAUAAAACAAUUAGUUCCUGUGGUGUUUUGUUCAUGGUUUCUUUUCGUAAUGUACAUGAUUGCUUUGUCAGUUCAGCUCAUUGUCCUUCAAUCCGUUCAAGUAGAUCUUUUCUACAGCAUCUGGCGAUGCAAUUAUUAAGCUAUUUGACUUGUGCACACUAUCAAGAAGCUUGCAUGCUUUCGAUAACCAUGAGUGUGAAUUUCUUUAUUGGUGCAUGUCUUCUUUAAUCAGUAUUUCUGUUUAUCAUGCUCAGUUUUAUGGUUCCCCAUUGGUCAGUCAAUCUACCCGCUCUUCUUCAGCUUAACUGAUAUGCUAUUAAGUAACUGAUGUUUUGUGCUGCACAGUUUGCGCCUGUAGGGGGGGAGGUCUUCCAGGUUGAGUGGAAUCCAAAUUUGGAGGCUAUAUUGUAGCUUCCCACAAACAAAAGGGUUAUGAUAUGGGACGUUAGUAGGAAAGUUUAGUCAAAUCUGCUCCUAUAUUCUAUUUUAUGUUUGCUUUUGGCAUCUUAUUUUCCCUCUCGCCACAUUGUUAUUUAUUGGUGAAUCAGUCCGAAUUGAAACCGAAAAAUAUGUAAUGAGUUUGAUCCAAAACAACAAUCUUUCUGCAUUUACUUCUGCCUUAUCAACUGCCAAUGCUCUUAAUUUGAAGCCAAUUCUCAUUAAAAUGGUUAGCAAUAAUGUUAAUAGGAGAAUAGUUCUGGAAGGAUUUAUGACUGAAUGUACAUUUAAAACCGAGAGUGUGAACUGUAAUUGAGCUUUAUUCAGAUUUGGGCACUUUUUAUUUAUCGCGGAUUCGGAACGAACUAUAAUUGAGCUUUAUUCAGUAGAAUAAAACAAGCGCAUUUUUUGGAAACUGUGCAGCUGCAAGUUCUUUGCAAUUUAUCUGGUUGUGUUCAUAUAGUAGAGCGGACAAUCUGUGCUGCUGCAGUGUCAAGGUAGUGAGCGAUUAACAACACCAUGUUGCAUACAUGGUCCAUGGUUUUUCCAUUUUUAAAUGCAGAAGCAGGACUCAACAUUUUCAGCUUUGUUUUUGGUAAAACUUAUUGACAAGGUUGAUUAGAAAUUUUAUCCUUUUAUUUACAUGUCAAGACGACAUCUCUCACGGAGUAUUUCGUCCUACAGUCUGCUUCCUCGAGCUGGCUGCGUGGUUCAGUGGUCGUUAUUCAUUCCGUCGUCUUCUCUUCAGUUCAGUGUUUAGUCAUGUGUGGCUUGGUUUCUGCUUGAUCUUGGUUUUUAGGCUGUAGUAGAUGCACUACACACCUAAUGUCCUAAUGUGCAUAAUCAUUAAUGGUACAUAAUGUAUCCCCAUGGCAAUAUCAUCUCGCUCAUUAAGAAGGCCACUAUCAUUGAUGGCAGCGCUGACCAGCAAGCUGCCUUUUGCCCUUGCCGUGGUCAAUCUUGGUUGUUUUCACACGGAUGGAUUUAGUGGCAUAUUGUGUGUGAACAUUGAAACUGAUUCUCAUGGCCUUUAAGUACAACUUCAUAGAGUAGUGUUACAGCAGAUGGACAGAGGUAAUUACGUUGGUUGGUGCUUUCAGAACGAUGGACAACUGUUGACUUGCAGGCCCUCACUGUCCCUGCAGCUAGAGUUUCAUAUCUCGUGCUGAGGUAUCACUGUCUCAUAUCCACUGCUUUUGCUUCUUCCCAUAGAAAAGAUAGGCUGCAAUUUAACUGUGCUAUUUAUUGUGAUCACUUAGUUGCAGAUUCCUUGCCACCUUCUUCAGGUGCAGGGAGUGUUCCCAGAUAUUGUUCUUCUGCUGAGUUGGUUGCUUUUAGGCAUUUGAUUAGCGGGGAUAGGUCAGUUGGGAUAGCGUCAGACUGAAGAUCUGAAGGUCACGUGUUCAACUCACGAUCACUGCAUUUUGACAUUUUUUAUUUUCUUGUUUACCACCAAUCUGCCAUUUUCAGUUUAGAAGUAGAUCAUCUGCCAUUUGCGAUUUAGAAGUAGAUCAUCGGCCUAGCAUGCUCCUUGGUUUAACUCAUGUUGCUUUGCAUAGUUAGUGCCGAGAUGAGAAAGUGUAAUUCUUUCUCACCUUCCCUCUCAGCUGAGUCUCCAUUUAACUGUACCAAUAGCAAACAUGACUAUUUUGUUGCAUCUGUGAGUAUUCAUCUACUUCUGGCAAAAGCAGUUUUGUAGACUUUCCUUCGUGCCACUAUUUUCGUGGUGGUGUAUGCAAUCUAACUGACCUAUCUUGCAGGUAACUAAGGAUAUACAUUGCCAAAGUUCCACAUGUAUCCUAUGUUCCCUGCUUUGGUUUGGAUACUUGCUUGCCACCUUUGUUGGAAAUUAGCUUCCUGGGUAGAUCGAUUUCAAAUAGCUAUAUUGAGGCUUCGUAAAUAUAAAUUUUGUGCAGGUUGAGUGGGAAACAAAAGAGUAUGUGCCAGCUCAAGCGACAAAGAGAAAUUGGGGCGGUAAGGGAGGAAAAUUGGGCACCCAAAGUAAGGGAAAAGAGAGGAAAGCGAGAGAUGAGCAAACCAGUCCACAGAAAUUGGUUGAGAGAGGAGCUCUCACCUUUCAAGCGGCAGCCAGCUUGAUCCUCUGCCGGAUCUGCACCAACAUCCUCCUCCGCCAGCUUCUUGUCUUGUCGGCCAGCCUCCUCCUCUCCAGCAUGGCACAACCCUCUCCCAGGAGGGUGGCAAGUGUCUGCCGCACAACUUGAGUAAGAGUGCCUGCUACGGCUGAUCCAGGAUACGCCCAAAGAGGAGAUCCAUAUUGUGUACAUACAAAUUAUUGCCAAGUGAAUUAAGUUUUAAUUUUUAGUGCAAGGAGUAAUGAGCACAAAUAUAUAUGUGAUCUUUGACAACAAUAUGCUUUUCUUAGUGAUAAAUUUAAAUUAGUGCUUAGACA